CCCGCUUGUUUUAUGCCCUUCUAUCUGCCCGGUUUCUGUCUGCUCAGUUUUAGGUUGGGGUGACCGCGGAGUAUAAAAUAGCCUCCAUGAAAAAAGGGAUAACUUCCCUUAUUUAAGAAUUACACUUCCAAGAACUAAUAAAUUAAUUUUAAAUGAUCCGAUAAUCGAUCAACGAACCAAGUUACCCUGGGGAUAACAGCGCAAUCCACCCCGAGAGCCCCUAUCGACAGGUGGGUUUACGACCUCGAUGUUGGAUCAGGGUAUCCCAGUGGUGCAGCAGCUACCAAAGGUUCGUUUGUUCAACGAUUAAAACCCU
rnacentral:rRNA from 1 species